rnacentral:lncRNA from 1 species
ACCUAGCUGCUGCCAUGCACCAUUGAUCUUUCCAGGUUCAUUUGCCCAUUCUAGAAGUUAUCUUUUGGACUGCAUUCAGCCAAAUCUUGCUAAGGAUUUUAAUGGUUUUUAUUCUGGAAUUUUCCAGCUUAUUCUAGCUGAAUUUUACUUAGUUUUUAAAGACUUAUUUGUGACCAUUCGGCUAGCUAGUGCAUAGGCUAUAAAUAGUUGUUUAUUUUCAUUGUAAAAGGACU